GCCUCUCUCGCUCUCUCUCGACAGGAGCGAGGCUGGAUCGUCGAUGGCGCCAACAAUGGAGGAAGAUGCAGAUUGCGUGCGUGGGUUGCCGCAGUUCAUCCUUCAGAAUUCGCUACUUGCCUCUGGUGGUGGAGUAAGACUGUAAGUUUCCACCCUCCUCCAUUCGCUCUUUCUGUUUUUCUGCUCUCAUGGAAAAAUUUUGACCCACGAAAACCUGCUCUCAUGGAAAAAUUUUGACCCACGAAAACAAUGAUCGCUAUGACCCGAAGGGAAAGGGGGCAUCUAAAGGUUUGAGAGACAGAGGAGCGAAGUGGAGACAUACAAUAAUGACGGACGACAUUUUUGGAGGAGACGGGAGAGAGACAGGGUUUCCAGAGGGUUUCGCAAAGAGGGAUUGGGAGAGAUUUGCCGUCGUUCAAAACCGCCACGUCUUUGCGCAUCUCAUCCUCUGCUGGGCCAACUUCCUCAACCUCAUCACCGCCGGUGGCAACAUCUCAUCGCACCACGACGUUUCCUGGUUGAUGGUUUGGGGAAUCGUUCCUAAUAUCCGCAUAAGCACAAGCGCAUGUUAAGUGGACUUGGUCUGUUUGAAGCUUGCAAAAAGUUGUGGGCAGACCUUGAAGAGGCCUUGCUGUGAAGAAGGAAUCAUCUACAUCAAGAGUACCAAGACCAGUGGUGGGGAGGUGAUAGAGCCACUUGUCGGUAAGCAGUUGUUUGUAGUCAUGGGGCCUUAGGGCACUGGAAAAGGGAAAUAAACCUAUCAUUCCUGAGAGGUUUGAAAAGG